AUCAUCAGUAGUGGUUAUACUAUCUCUUAAUAGAUAUAUAACUUGUACUUUUAGUACAACUACCGAAAGACCCUAGUCGUAUCUUAAGUACACCACAUGAGUGAUUGUGUGAGCUAGGUACGGCGUUCAGCUAAGUGUUUCUUGACCUUUUUAACAGAUUGGCCACAAUUAACACUCCGUUUCCGGUCUUUUAGAAUAGAUAGCACUUUAUGUUUUAGACCAGUUCUGAUAAUGCUGGUGGCGUUGGCGGCCAGCCCAUUUUGUCAGAUUAAUUCAUUGUGCUACAUUU
rnacentral:snoRNA from 1 species